rnacentral:rRNA from 1 species
GACAGAGGCCUCGAGCGUUAGGCGGAAUCACUGGGCUUAAAGCGUGUGUAGGCGGAUCGUUAAGUACCUUGUGAAAUCCCACGGCUCAACCGUGGAACGGCUGGGUAUACUGGCGGUCUUGGGCCAUUCAGGGGCGACUGGAACAAGCGGUGGAGCGGUGAAAUGCGUAGAUAUCGCUUGGAACGCCGAAGGUGAAAACAGGUCGCUGGGGAUGUGCCGACGCUGAGACACGAAAGCCAGGGGAGCAAGCGGG